GACGAACGCUGGCGGCGCGCCUAACACAUGCAAGUCGAACGGAGCUUAGAGAGCUUGCCUUUUAAGCUUAGUGGCGAACGGGUGAGUAACGCGUGAGUAACCUGCCCUAGAGUGGGGGACAACAGUUGGAAACGACUGCUAAUACCGCAUAAGCCCACGGUACCGCAUGGUACUGAGGGAAAAGGAUUUAUUCGCUUCAGGAUGGACUCGCGUCCAAUUAGCUAGUUGGUGAGGUAACGGCCCACCAAGGCGACGAUUGGUAGCCGGACUGAGAGGUUGAACGGCCACAUUGGGACUGAGACACGGCCCAGACUCCUACGGGAGGCAGCAGUGGGGGAUAUUGCACAAUGGGGGAAACCCUGAUGCAGCGACGCCGCGUGGAGGAAGAAGGUUUUCGGAUUGUAAACUCCUGUCGUUAGGGACGAUAAUGACGGUACCUAACAAGAAAGCACCGGCUAACUACGUG
rnacentral:rRNA from 1 species